UGGGGAAUUUUGCACAAUGGGGGAAACCCUGAUGCAGCGACGCCGCGUGAUUUAGAAGGCCUUCGGGUUGUAAAAAUCUUUUCUAUGGGAAGAAAAUGACAGUACCAUAGGAAUAAGGACCGGCUAAUUACGUGCCAGCAGCCGCGGUAAUACGUAAGGUCCGAGCGUUGUCCGGAAUCAUUGGGCGUAAAGGGUACGUAGGCGGGUAAGCAAGUUAGAAGUGAAAUCCUGUAGCUCAACUACAGUAAGCUUUUAAAACUGCUCAUCUUGAGAUAUGGAAGGGAAAGUGGAAUUCCUAGUGUAGCGGUGAAAUGCGCAGAUAUUAGGAGGAAUACCGGUGGCGAAGGCGACUUUCUGGCCAUAAUCUGACGCUGGGGUACGAAAGCGUGGGGAGCGAACAGG
rnacentral:rRNA from 1 species